rnacentral:rRNA from 1 species
GACGAACGCUGGCGGCGUGCUUAACACAUGCAAGUCGAACGAGAACGGAUUAUAGCUUGCUAUAAUUGUCAGCUAAGUGGCGCACGGGUGAGUAAUGUAUAGGUAAUAUGCCUCUUACUAAGGGAUAACAAAUGGAAACGUUUGCUAAUACCUUAUACUCCUUAUUAACAGAAGUUAAUAAGGGAAAGAUUUAUUGGUAAGAGAUUAGCCUGUAUUGUAUCAGUUAGUUGGUGGGGUAAUGGCUUACCAAGACUAUGACACAUAACUGGUUUGAGAGGAUGAUCAGUCACACUGGAACUGAGACACGGUCCAGACUCCUACGGGAGGCAGCAGUGGGGAAUAUUGCACAAUGGACGGAAGUCUGAUGCAGCAACGCCGCGUGGAGGAUGACACAUUUCGGUGCGUAAACUCCUUUUAUAUGAGAAGAUAAUGACGGUAUUAUAUGAAUAAGCACCGGCUAACUCCGUGCCAGCCACCGCAGUAACAC